UUCACCUGAUGCAGUAGAUACCGCGGAUCUUAUUUUAUUUCUCGACCAGCUGUUUGAUUCCCUGAAUGUUCUGAAGAGUAAUAAGUCAAGCCAAACCUUUAAAACAUCGCGUAACAAUACAUUCGGAACAUGAAGCGUUUUGGCGCAAUUCGCUAACCAUACUCGAAAGUAUGGUUUUUUUGUCCUAAAAAACAGAAGAGGGUAAUGGUUUCAACUUUGAAAAACUUAAAGUUUACACUGAGAGGCGUUUUACAUCUAAGAUCAAAACUGUUAGUUAAAGAAAACUUUAGAUUUAUUCUAACAGGAGCUUUUCCUCAGGACCCUUUAGAAAACUUUUUUAGUUACGUCAGAAUUCGUUCUUUAUUGUGAAAUAAGAGCACUCUUUAUCAAUCUGUAAUAGAAGACAUGAGAAAACUCGGUUUUUUCAAAACCCCUGAAUUUGAAGCGUAUUUAAUGAGGAUCGGACUGAACAAAAAUAGGACUUUGAUGAAACAAGAAAGGAAACACGAUUCAACCAGCACUGUACCAACUUGUAAGUGAGUAAACAGCCAGACUGCAGUCCCAGACAACUCACAGCGCCAGCUCUAGAAGGUACAUAAGAGAGCCCAUUUCCCAAACCUCAUCGAUAACAAAAAAUAAUUAUAUGUAAAUCAAGUAACUGAAAAAAUAACAGGUAAUAAUUGGAUACUUCUGAUCACUUACAUAUUUGUUAACAUAUUUAUUAUUUUUAAUGUAACUUAAACUUAUUUAAUAUGUGUAUGUAAAUUUUUGCUUUUUUUGGAACACUAACGUUAUAACUUCAAUACAAUUACUAAAUAUGC